GCCCGGGUGGCGGAACCGGUAGACGCGGCUGGCUUAAAACCGGCUGUCCCGCAAGGGACGUGGGGGUUCGAGCCCCUCCCCGGGCA
rnacentral:tRNA from 3 species